GUCAGGACUUCAUGCUGGACAAAGUAUGGAGCUGUCAUCAUGUUUCCUGACACUCGCCUCCUGCAACUUCAGGGUAACUACUUCCCUGUAACUCUGAUCGAUGAUCUCCUCACUCUCCUGUACAAGCUGGAGAUCAUCCAGAUCGCUAACACGGUCUUCAAGGAGCUGCAGCCGGAUGCACUUCGCACAGAUGUUCCCUGGGAGACUCUGGGUCUCCAGGACUCCAACAUCUGGCAUGAAGAACACACAACAACCAUUUAAACUACACUAAGUACCCCUGACACAGUAAGAAAAAAGGGAAACUUUCAAGUUUACAGCUUACCGAGAGCCAACGCCUCCAUUGAGUCAAAGGCUGACACUCCCACUCUCAACACUGGUCUAUUCCGCUUGUCUGUUCUGCACUUUUAUUUACUCCUCUCUGUGCUGCUCCCACCGCUGAUUGGGCCGCCGGAAUGACACCGAACACCUGCGAAGCUCUCCUCUUAAAUGAGCGCCACCAACCUGUGAGAAACCUCCUGGCUGUGCACUACUGGACUGCAUAAAGAGAAAAAUAUUUUCUUUUCACGGCGUAUAAGAAGACAGCAGAAAAUCAUUCAAACUGGCAUGCUAGGCCAAAAUUGGAUUUCAUUGUACUUGACAACAGCUCAAUAUGCAGACUUUAAAAAUCCCUUUCUGCCUGGUUAUGGUUCAGUAGGCAGCAACUUUGCACCUGAAUGGUCCUUGUGUGUUUGAGA